rnacentral:rRNA from 1 species
GAUAAACGCUGGCGGCGUGCCUAACACAUGCAAGUCGAGCGAGAAGUAAAUAACGGAUACCUUCGGGUUGAAGAUAUUUAUGGAAAGCGGCGGACGGGUGAGUAUCGCGUGGGUAACCUGCCCUAUACAUGGGGAUAGCCACUAGAAAUGGUGAUUAAUACCUGGUAAGCAUAAAUGAGGCAUCUCAUUUAUGAGAAAGAUUUAUUGGUAUAGGAUGGGCCCGCGUCUGAUUAGCUAGUUGGUAGGGUAAAGGCCUACCAAGGCUGUGAUCAGUAGCCGACCUAAGAGGGUGAACGGCCACACUGGAACUGAGAGACGGUCCAGACUCCUACGGGAGGCAGCAGUGGGGGAUAUUGCACAAUGGGGGAAACCCUGAUGCAGCAACGCCGCGUGAGUGAUGAAAUUUUUCGAAAUGUAAAACUCUGUCCUAUGGGAAGAAAAAAAUGACGGUACCAUAGGAGGAAGCACCGGCUAAAUACGUGCCAGCAGCCGCGGUAAUACGUAUGGUGCAAGCGUUAUCCGGAAUCAUUGGGCGUAAAGCGUGCGUAGGCGGCUAGGAAGGUCAGAGGUGAAAGGCAUGGGCUUAACCUGUGUAAGCCUUUGAAACCGACUAGCUUGAGUACAGGAGGGGAAAGUGGAAUUUCUAGUGUAGCGGUGAAAUGCGUAGAUAUUAGAAAGAACACCAGUGGCGAAGGCGACUUUCUGGACUGUAACUGACGCUAAGGCACGAAAGCGUGGGUAGCGAACAGG